CUCCCCGCCGCCGCUGCUGUGUCAUGGCGGAGCGGAAGUCCCAGCCACAACGGGAAAAGGCAUACUUUAGGUGGGAGGCGCUUCUCACAGCUUUCUCCCCUUCCUCCCAUAACCUUUUUGAUCUCCCACCGUAGAGGGGCCUCCUACCCUGCACUCUUCCGAACACCUCGUAGUCCACGGAUUUGAGUGACUGGGCGGUAGACAUGGCGGCGGCGAGCCCUCUGUUGAGGAGCCGGAGAGGGGCUCGGGGCGCAGCGACUGCGGCGGCUGCGAGAGGGAGGGGACACAUGGGACUGCUUGGCGCACCCCGCGCCUGUCACCGGUCCCGGACGCUAGCGCGCCGGGGUCACGCGUCGGAAGCGGCAAAUGAGACUGCGGGGCCUGGGAGCGAGGGCAGCCGGGGACGCCAGGAGGGAAGAGGCCGCUGGGCCCCAGGCAUCCUAGGCCUCUCUUCCCGGACUGGGGAGGAUGCUGUCUCCACAGCGCUCCCUACCAUUUAAUUGAUCAAGGUACUCUGUUCUCAAAGUUAGUAAAUAAAAGCCGGAUGCUGUGCCCAAAAAAAGAGUGGCUUCCCCCAGCUUUAUUAAAGUGUAAUUGACAAAUAAAAGUUGGGUAUAUUUGUGGUGUACAAGGUGAUGUUUUGACAUAUGUAUGCAUUGUGAAAUGAUUACAUCAAUGAAAUUAACGUAUCCAUUGCACCAUUUUUUAAUGAAGAGAACAUUUAAGAUCUACUCUCAUCAAUUUUUAAGGACACAAUACAUUUAUCGCAGUCACCAUGUUAGACAACAGAUCUUCAGAACUUAUUAUUCACACUAACUGAAACUUUGUACCCUUUGACCAAUAUCUCCCCAUUUCCAACCCCUUUCAUCCCCCAUCCCAGGUCCCCCACCCCACUCCAUCCCAGCAAGAUUGGCUUUUGAAAUCAAGGGCCUGCGUGUUUAGUGUUUUGAGAGUUAGUAAAUUAUUUAUGAAAUGUUUAGGUGACUACCAAGCCAGCUUUUAAGAUAAGGUCUGCAACAUCUUGAGCUCUUCUGUACAGUCAGGAAGGAAUUGAGCCUGAACUCGUAUUCUAAACGGAUUGUGAUAUUUUCUGGGAUAAGAAACUUUUUAAAAAUAUGAAGUCUUUUAUGCUAGUGGAAACAGACAAAAG
rnacentral:lncRNA from 1 species